rnacentral:lncRNA from 1 species
CUAAUUAACAUUAAAAUAUUCAAUUAACACUUUCAUUUUCCCCAUUUACAAAUUAGGGUUUUCAAAUCCAUCAUUAGGGUUCCUGACGGAAAAUUUAAGUUUGAUAAUUUGGAAAUUAGGGUUUUGCUAAUUAAUUAAGCGUUACCCUAAUUAAUAUUAUAAUAAUAGCAGUAGAGCAUUAUAAUUCUCCAUUAUAAUCCCAGAUUAGGGCUUCAAUUUAUCAGAAUCUGAAACUAGGGUUUUCA